GUAGCGUGAUUAGGGGAGGGUGUGCAGAGUGCAAGGCCGAGGGCGAGGAAGGAUUCCACGCCCCAACCUUCCCUUCCCGGAGCCGAGAGGAGGGUCCUAGAGGCCGCAGUUGGCGUGAGGCCAGGGUGGGGCCAGCGCACAGUUUGGGUGAAAAGAAGAUCCUCAAAGUGAAACGUUUUGACAGUGUGGAAGAAGUAAAAUAAAAAAUGGCAGAAGCAAUAAAAGACAACAAAAUCAAUGAGUUCAAAAACUGUUUUGAACAGUGAAAAAGAUAUCUCAGUAAAUGUAUUGCAUCAGAUAGAGAGUAUUUUGAAGGUGACUGAAAUUUAAACAUAUAAGAAUAAAUGCAAAAUUUUUAGUAAA